UACGGAGGGUGCAAGCGUUGUCCGGAUUUAUUGGGUUUAAAGGGUGCGUAGGUGGUCUUAUAAGUCAGCGGUGAAAGUCUGCAGCUUAACUGUAGAACUGCCAUUGAUACUGUAAGGCUUGAGUACUGAUGAGGUAGGCGGAAUUGAUAGUGUAGCGGUGAAAUGCAUAGAUAUUAUCAAGAACACCGAUUGCGAAGGCAGCUUACUAAGGAGUUACUGACACUGAGGCACGAAAGCGUGGGGAUCAAACAGG
rnacentral:rRNA from 1 species